rnacentral:lncRNA from 1 species
UUAUAUAACAAAUAUUAUACAUUUAUUCCUUUCAGGUCAUCGAGGCAGCCUAUAAUCUCAAAAUUUUGCCUCAUAUUUGUAUUCAUUGAUUCCUUUCAGGUCAUCGAAGCAUCCAAUCCAUCCUUUAUAUUAUGGAAUAAUCAAAUUCAUCCAUAUCGAUAUUGCAUCAAAGGCAUCAGACAACUUUUACAUUAUGAGUAAAGUGUUCAUAAUGUUUUUUUAGGGUCAAUGGGGCUUCCAAAUACCAGCAACAGUUUAUAUAACAAAUAUUAUUCAUCUAUUCCUUUCGGGUCAUCAAGUCAGCCUAUAGUCUCAAAAUUUUGUAUUCAUUGAUUCCUUUAUCCAUCCUUUAUAUUAUGAAUGAAUCAAAUUCAAUUCAUAUCGAUAUCGCAUCAAAGGCAUCAGACAACUUUACAUUCAUAAAUGCAUUCAAGUCAUAAAAGAUCAAUAGAUACCAAACUUUGGGUUAUAUCAUCCUUUUUUUCAAAUUGCAAACAGAGAUUUCAAAUCACAUGGACAAUUCACAGUAAAGAAUUCCAUGAUAUUUCUAUGAUAUUCCAUGAAUUUCAUUUUAUAUGUUUCACAACAGAAGAAGAUUGAAGCAUCUUGAAUCAAGAAUGAAAAAAUCGGUAGCCAACAACAGAAGAUUGAAACAUGUAGUAACUAUAAAUCGAAGGGGCAAAUCUUUUGUAACGAAAUUCCAAUUACAAAUAAAAGAUCUCGAAAUUAAUUGUAUUACCUGAGAAGAUGAAUAAAUUGCUUUUGGAAACUCAGCGAACCCUAUCUUGAAGAAAACAAGAUUCGGUCAACGAAACAAACCGAACACUUAAACGCUGCAAUUUUCGAAGAGGAACGCAAAUUUGUGACAGUGCAAGAAUUUGAAGAGAGAUGAUCAAGAGACACGAGAUUUAGGGUUUAGAGAUGAUUGUGAGAAGAGAACCAUCGUAACUCUCUAAUCGCG